GCCGGACUGACUGCUAUCGGAUGGACUAGCCAUGCGAGUCAUUGUACAAUACAAGCGGACGGCUCAUAACACGUAUCAACCUAACUCGUGGACGUGGAUAACCUCGGGAAACUGAGAAUAAACCACGAUAGAUCAUAGUGCCUGGAAUGGCUUAUGGUCAAAACAGUUUACUGCCAUGGGAUGGGACUGCGGCCUAUCAGCUUGUUGGUGAGGGGUAAUGGCCCAGCAAGGCGAUUACAGGUACGGGCUCUGAGAGGAGAAGCCCGGAGAUGGGUACUGAGACACGGACCCAGGCCCUAUGGGGCGCAGCAGGCGAGAAACCUUAGCAAUGUGCGAAAGCACGACUGGGUCAGUCCGAGUGAUUCCUGAUAAAGGAGUCUUUUGCUUGUCCUAAAAGCACAGGUGAAUAAGGGGUGGGCAAGUCUGGUGUCAGCCGCCGCGGUAAUACCAGCACCUCGAGUGGUCAGGACGUUUAUUGGGCCUAAAGCAUCCGUAGCCGGCUCUGCAAGUCUUCGGUUAAAUCCACCUGCUCAACAGAUGGGCUGCUGGAGAUACUACAGAGCUAGGGAGUGGGAGAGGCAGACGGUAUUCAGUGGG
rnacentral:rRNA from 1 species